CAGCAGCCGCGGUAAUACGAAGGGGGCUAGCGUUGUUCGGAAUUACUGGGCGUAAAGGGCGCGUAGGCGGCCAUUCAAGUUAGAUGUGAAAGCCCUGGGCUCAACCUAGGAAUUGCGUUUGAUACUGUUUGGCUUGAGUUCGGGAGAGGCGAGUGGAAUUCCCAGUGUAGAGGUGAAAUUCGUAGAUAUUGGGAAGAACACCGGUGGCGAAGGCGGCGACCUGGUCCUUGACUGACGCUGAGGCGCGAAAGCAUGGGGAGCAAACAGGAUUAGAUACCCGCGUAGUCCCUGUCUCUUAUAC
rnacentral:rRNA from 1 species